UACGUAGGGGGCAAGCGUUGUCCGGAAUCAUUGGGCGUAAAGAGCGUGUAGGCGGCCCGAUAAGUCCGCCGUGAAAGUCCAGGGCUCAACCCUGGAAUGCCGGUGGAAACUGUCGGGCUGGAGUCCGGAAGAGGCGAGUGGAAUUCCUGGUGUAGCGGUGAAAUGCGCAGAUAUCAGGAGGAACACCAAUGGCGAAGGCAGCUCGCUGGGACGGUACUGACGCUGAGACGCGAAAGCGUGGGGAGCGAUCCGG
rnacentral:rRNA from 1 species